UGCCGGCCCUCCAAAGGUCGGGGUUACUGAAGAGGCACUACAUCUUGCCGGCCGUGCGGAGAGGGAAUUCCCUUUCCAAUCGUGCGCAUCAUCUUCCCAACGCCUGGCGUUUUUGCCGCGCGAAGGGAGCGGUGCCGCUCG
rfam:Azorhizobium caulinodans ORS 571 DNA, complete genome.